rnacentral:rRNA from 1 species
UACGGGGGGGGCAAGCGUUGUUCGGAAUUACUGGGCGUAAAGGGCUCGUAGGCGGCCAACUAAGUCGGACGUGAAAUCCCUCGGCUUAACCGGGGAACUGCGUCCGAUACUGGAUGGCUUGAGUAUGGGAGAGGGAUGCGGAAUUCCAGGUGUAGCGGUGAAAUGCGUAGAUAUCUGGAGGAACACCGGUGGCGAAGGCGGCAUCCUGGACCGACACUGACACUGAGGAGCGAAAGCCAGGGGAGCAAACGGG